GGGUGUGAGGGCAGUCUGGCUGUGACAAGUCACCCCACUGAUUGCCAGGGUUGAUUCAGCUGAUCUGGCUGGCUAGGCAGGUGUCCCCUUCCUCCCUCACUAUUCCAUGUGCAACCCGCCCAAAGCUGCAUACUUGAAGUGGGCGACCUUCCCCCAAGAGAGGAGGACUGGUCUUUGGUCAAGGGGAUAGUAGUAGCUGGGCUCCCCUGCUGGAACCUCCAACAAGCUCUCAGAUCCUGCCUCUGCUACUACUAGUCCGACCUCAGGUGAAAUGUGUAAGUCUUUGAGUGCUGAUUCCAUUUCCAGAAAAAAACCCACU
rnacentral:snRNA from 1 species